rnacentral:rRNA from 1 species
GCGAGGGAGGCCCUAGCACAGGUGCUGCAUGGCCGUCGUCAGCUCGUGCCGUGAGGUGUUGGGUUAAGUCCCGCAACGAGCGCAACCCCCGCCGUUAGUUGCCAGCGGUUCGGCCGGGCACUCUAACGGGACUGCCCGCGAAAGCGGGAGGAAGGAGAGGACGACGUCUGGUCAGCAUGGCCCUUACGGCCUGGGCGACACACGUGCUACAAUGCCCACUACAAAGCGAUGCCACCCGGCAACGGGGAGCUAAUCGCAAAAAGGUGGGCCCAGUUCGGAUUGGGGUCUGCAACCCGACCCCAUGAAGCCGGAAUCGCUAGUAAUCGCGGAUCAGCCAUGCCGCGGUGAAUACGUUCCCGGGCCUU